AUUGAGUUAAAGGCAUCCAUCCACAACCAGUCUGAGAAGCAACUUUGAGAAUUAUCUGAGAGAUUGAAGGGGAGGGAAGAAGUUUGCAGCAAUCUCUAGAAAAAGGUCAAAGAGUUAGAGACCAAACUUGUAGAAUAACAGCACUUAGAAUCUGCAUAUUUGCAGCAGAAGGUUUGUGUAUCUAAUUCUAAAGUGUGAAUCAUUUAUAAAAAAGUCACUACUAACUAAAGUGUGAA